rnacentral:rRNA from 1 species
UACGAAGGGGGCUAGCGUUGUUCGGAAUCACUGGGCGUAAAGGGCGCGUAGGCGGCGAUUCAAGUCAGGCGUGAAAGGCCUGGGCUCAACCCGGGAACUGCGUUUGAUACUGGAUUGCUGGAGUCCGGGAGAGGAUGGCGGAAUUCCCAGUGUAGAGGUGAAAUUCGUAGAUAUUGGGAAGAACACCGGUGGCGAAGGCGGCCAUCUGGACCGGAACUGACGCUGAGGCGCGAAAGCGUGGGGAGCAAACAGG